rnacentral:rRNA from 1 species
GAUGAACGCUGGCGGCGUGCCUAAUACAUGCAAGUCGAGCGAACAGACGAGGAGCUUGCUCCUCUGACGUUAGCGGCGGACGGGUGAGUAACACGUGGAUAACCUACCUAUAAGACUGGGAUAACUUCGGGAAACCGGAGCUAAUACCGGAUAAUAUAUUGAACCGCAUGGUUCAAUAGUGAAAGACGGUUUUGCUGUCACUUAUAGAUGGAUCCGCGCCGCAUUAGCUAGUUGGUAAGGUAACGGCUUACCAAGGCAACGAUGCGUAGCCGACCUGAGAGGGGGAGCGGCCACACGGGACCUGAGCCCCGGCCCAGCCCCCGAGGGGGGGCACCAGUAGGGAUCCUUCCGCAAGGGGGGAAGGCCGGACGGAGAAGCGCGGGGGGAGGAAGAAAGUUUUUCGGACCUAAAACCUUUUUUAUGAGGGAAAAAAAAUUGUUAAAGAAACUAUGCCCGCUUGGACGUUACUAAACAAGAAACCCACGACAAACUCGGUC